GAGAACAAUACAUGUAGACGUAGCUAUCUACCGAGUUACCAACACAGACUCUGCACUUUGGGUUGCCACCAGAGGACAGCAGUACCACGAAUGGAGCAUUGGAAUCUAAGCUACUGGAUCAUUGAGACAAAGCAGAAACCUCGUAAUUAGAUUUUACUUUUUAUCAGAGCACUUUAUCGAAUUGCUUCUCUGAGCGUUGCAAGUCAUUGAUGAGGUGAGACAAAUUAUCGUCUCGGUUGAGUGAUGUGUUGAUUGUAUUGAGUUGAAAGGGUUUUCCACUAGGUUCCAUUCUUCCACAGCGCUGUGAGCAUGUAAGUCCUGUACUAGACAUCAAGAGGAGCUCACCAACACGG
rnacentral:lncRNA from 1 species